GAGGAAUAUUGGGCAAUGCCCGCAAGGGUGACCCAGCAACGCCGCGUGGAGGAUGAAUGUCGUAAGAUUGUAAACUCCUGUUAGAGGGGAAGAAUAGUACCGGUUGGACCGGUAUAUGACUGUACCCUCAGAGAAAGCCCCGGCUAACUACGUGCCAGCAGCCGCGGUAAUACGUAGGGGGCAAGCGUUGUCCGGAUUUACUGGGUGUAAAGGGCGCGCAGGCGGGAUAAAAAGUCAGUGGUGAAAUCCUACAGCUUAACUGUAGAACUGCCUUUGAUACUUUUAUUCUUGAGUUCGGGAGAGAGAGACGGAAUUCCAGGUGUAGUGGUGAAAUACGUAGAUAUCAGGAGGAACACCAGUUGCGAAGGCGGUCUCUUGGUCCGACACUGACGCUGAGGCGCGAAAGCGUGGGGAGCAAACA
rnacentral:rRNA from 1 species